AUAAGGUUCUCUACUUGCCACCAUGGCCGCUUCCUGCAAUCCACUCCACUUUUCCCUCCCUCUCCCAUCCCGCCACCGCGCCCUCCCCAUCUCCUCCUCCGCCCACCCUCCUCCCGCCGCCGCCGCCUUCCCGGCGUCCAUCACAUCAAUCAUUCACCCAUCAAUGCAGAACGCCCAGGUACUCUUCUACAAGUCGGGAUACAAGGUGCAGAUAGCAGUGGAGGAGGACGAGUCGGAGGAGGUGCUGCUGCGUAGGUUCAAGAGGGAGGUGUCCAAGGCAGGGGUGAUCCAGGAGUUCCGGCGGCGGAGCCAUUUUGAGAACAAGCAGGAGGAGAAAAAGCGGAAGGCGCAGGAGGCCGGUCGUCGGAACCGGUUUAGACGGUCAGGGUUCAGAUUCACGCCACCAACACGAUCAGGAGAUGGCGACGCUCCUAAAAAUGCUAGGGAAGAUGCAGACGACAACUGGGAUCUGCCAGAAGGCAACCUUCCUUAUUGAAAAUUGUAAGCAAUUUGCACUCGCUCUACGAUCACAAAUGUCGGUGAAUUUGGUUAUUUUUAUGACUUGUUAUCUUAUUUCCUUUUAAA
rnacentral:misc_RNA from 1 species